CCUUCUCCUACUUAAUUCAGUUGCAUGACUAGCAGUAAUGAAGAGUCCCAAAGAAUUGCAGGUUGGAGAUGAAAAAUUGUACCCUGUCUUCUGAACAGAUUACUUAAAAGCACAUUUUCUAUGAAGACGUUGAUACCUGAGAGGUAAAUUGUCUCCUGUCAUUUUAAGAAGGAGUGGGCUCUGGGGUUGGAUUUGAGUGCUCCUGGGCUCUAGAACCAAGACUCCAGGUCACAGAAUGACUUCGAAAUAUGAAUUCCCCUCCAGGCACAAGGCAUUCCACACCUUUGGCAGAAACCAUUUACCUGGCUGAGAAUGCAAGGAUAAUUGGCUAUAAAAGUUCAAUGCCAGAUGAAAAGAGAAUUCCAGAGCUCCCAGCAUGAUGAUAUUACAAGAUGGAGCCUUUGGAAGGUGGUGGAGCCCUCAUAAAUGAACUGGGUCCAACUGAAGAAAACCCAGGGACCUCUCACUCCUUCCUCCAUGUGAAGUUACAGUUAGAAGAUGGUCCUUCCACACAUGUCAGUGCCUUGAUCUUGGACCUAGAUGUGUCCAGAACUAUGAGAAGGAACUGUUUUGUUGCUUAUAAGCCACCUAUUCUGUGGUAGUUUCAUUAUAGAAAUCCAAACAUACCAAAAUAGCCAUUUCUCCAUUGCUGCUAUGACAUGACUUGGUUCCCCUUGGAGGGAAAUCUCAAAGAAGUUACUUGCUCUCAUGCUUUCAUUUUAUUCCACUCCUUUCUCUCUUAAAGCAACCCUACCCAGACUUUCAACCCCAUGACUAUGUUGAAAUUAGAACUUGAUGACAAGUUGCUCAAUCCAAUGACCCUUUCUCCAUCAUGAUCCUGUGGCACAGGACCCGUGAAAACCACAGUUGCUGACUCCCUUAUCUGUGGCAGGAAUCUUAGAAGGCCUUAUUAAUAAAAUCAAACCUGAGGCCAGUUAUUGGGGUGAAUGCUGGAAGAUCAGAGAAGCAGAACAAGCCACAGCUACCUCACCUUGCCAAUUCCUCAGCCGAUCCUGUUUUCUCAGACUGGAUGCCUCUCAGUCCUCGUAUAGAAUGAAUCUCAGCUGAACUGUGCUGCUCAAAGCCUGAAAGCUUAACCAGCCAAAUGCUUCUAGUUCCUGGUCUUCACAACUUAUAUACCUUUCUGCUAUCUGCCAUCACUCCCUGGGAUUAAAGGCUUACUUCUUGGGAUUAAAGGUGUGUGUCACUAUGCCUGACUGUUUCCAAUGUGGCCUUGAAUUCACAGAGAUCCAGAGGGAUUUCUGCCUCUGGAAUGCUAGGAUUAAAGGUGUGUGUGCCACCAUUUUCUAGCCUCUGUAUCUAGUGGCUGUUCUGUUCUUUGACCCCAGAUAAGUUUAUUAGGGUGCACAAUAUUUUGGAGAACACAAUACCACCACAUUUCCCCUUUUUUGUCUAAAAUUUAAAAAAUAACUAAUACAAGAAAAACUGUCCAAUAAAUAUAUACAACAUAUACAGUCAAAAUUUACAUAAACAAUGUCUAGUCCAUUAACAUUUGAUAGGUUCAGAUGAAAAACUUUGUUAAUAUAUAACAAUGUCUAGUCUAGUAACAUUUGAUAAACUCAGACAAAAUUUUCAUUAUCCUAUUUAAAACAAGUAGUUCCUUUUUAAAAGUAGAUUCCAUAAUCUCCCUUUUUAUCUUAUUAUAUCCAUAUUCUCUUUUUUCUUUUCAUAAUAGAUUCAAUAAUCUACCUUUUGUCA